CCUACGGGAGGCAGCAGUGGGGAAUUUUCCGCAAUGGGCGAAAGCCUGACGGAGCAAUACCGCGUGAGGGAAGACUGCCUAUGGGUUGUAAACCUCUUUUUUCAGGGAGGAAUAAAAUGACGUGUACCUGAAGAAUAAGCAUCGGCUAACUCCGUGCCAGCAGCCGCGGUAAGACGGAGGAUGCAAGUGUUAUCCGGAAUCACUGGGCGUAAAGCGUCUGUAGGUGGUUUAAUAAGUCAACUGUUAAAUCUUGAGGCUCAACUUCAAAACCGCAGUCGAAACUAUUAGACUAGAGUAUAGUAGAGGUAAAGGGAAUUUCCAGUGGAGCGGUGAAAUGCGUAGAUAUUAGAAAGAACACCGAUGGCGAAAGCACUUUACUGGGCUAUUACUAACACUCAGAGACGAAAGCUAGGGUAGCAAAUGGGAUUAGAUACCCCAGUAGUCCUAGCCGUAAACUAUGGAUACUAGAUGUUGAACAGAUCGACCUGUGCAGUAUCAAAGCUAACGCGUUAAGUAUCCCGCCUGGGAAGUAUGCUCGCAAGAGUUGAAACUCAAAUNAUAGNGNGNGNGACGNGCGACGACGACGACGAGGAGAG
rnacentral:rRNA from 1 species